GUCUCAUUUUUACAGUCUUUACAAGGUAGCUCUGAGUUGGGCAUGGUACUCCUGAAAUUCCAGUACUUAGGAGGCUGAGGCAGGAGGAU
rnacentral:miRNA from 1 species